rnacentral:lncRNA from 1 species
CGCUCACCUUGGUCUAUGUGAAUAUUAAACAAUGGACACAGAUGGAUUCAUGACAAAAUUGUUUUUGUGAUGGUAUGUGUUGUAGAUCUUACUUUACUAAACAUUCUUGCUGCUUACAAUUAUCUCUAUCUAAAACAGUACUUUCUGUGGAAAAUGUUAUUGAAAAUCUUCAAAUUUUAAGAAAAUUGUUAAAAAUUGACUAUGAAGGGCAAUAACUCCUUAGGGGGUCAAUUGACUAUUUUGGUCAUAGUGACUUAUUUUUAGUUCUUACUUUGCUGUACAUUAUUGCUGUUACAGUUUAUC